rnacentral:rRNA from 1 species
CCUACGGGAGGCAGCAGUGGGGAAUAUUGCUCAAUGGGCGAAAGACUGAAGCAGCCAAGCCGCGUGGAGGAUGAAGGCUUUAGGGUUGUAAACUUCUUUUGUUAGAGAGGAUAAUGACGGUAUGUAUGGUGUUAGCUCGGGCUAGCACCGUGCCAGCAGCCGCGGUAAUACGGCGGGUGCAAGCGUUAUUCGGAAUGACUGGGCGUAAGGAGGGCGUAGGGGGGGUAAUAAGUGAGAUGUGAAAUCCCGUGGCUUAACCACGGAACUGCAGGGGAAACUGGUACUCUGGAGUGCGGGAGAGGUAUGUGGAAUUCGUGGUGUAGCGGUGAAAUGCGUAGAGAUCACGAGGAAUACUGAUUGCGAAGGCAGCCUACUGGAACAUUACUGACGCUGAUGCUCGAAAGCGCGGGUAGCGAACAGGAUUAGAUACCCUAGUAGUC